AUUGAACGCUGGCGGCAGGCCUAACACAUGCAAGUCGAACGAGUGGCGGACGGGUGAGUAAUGUCUGGGAAACUGCCCGAUGGAGGGGGAUAAAUACUGGAAACGGUAGCUAAUACCGCAUACCAUCGGAUGUGCCCCGGAGGGAUUAGCUAGUAGGUGUGGUAACGGCUCACCUAGGCGACGAUCCCUAGCUGGUCUGAGUGGAUGACCAGCCACACUGGAACUGAGACACGGUCCAGACUCCUACGGGAGGCAGCAGUGUGGAAUAUUGCACCAUGGGCGCAAGCCUGAUUCAGCCAUGCCGCUUGUAUGAAGAAGUCCUUAGGGUUGUAAAGUACUUUCAGCGAGGAGGCGUUACUCGCAGAAGAAGCACCGGCUAACUCCGUGCCAGCCGCCGCGGUAAUUC
rnacentral:rRNA from 1 species